AACGAACGCUGGCGGCAUGCCUAACACAUGCAAGUCGAACGAGACCUUCGGGUCUAGUGGCGCACGUGUGCGUACCGCGUGGGAACCUGCCCUUAGGUUCGGAAUAACUCCCCGAAAGGGGUGCUAAUACCGGAUAAUGUCUUCGGACCAAAGAUUUAUCGCCUUUGGAUGGGCCCGCGUUGGAUUAGCUAGUUGGUAGUGUAAAAGCCUACCAAGGCCACGAUCCAUAGCUGGUCUGAGAGGAUGAUCAGCCACACUGGGACUGAGACACGGCCCAGACUCCUACGGGAGGCAGCAGUGGGGAAUAUUGGACAAUGGGCGAGAGCCUGAUCCAGCAAUGCCGCGUGAGUGAUGAAGGCCUUAGGGUUGUUAAGCUCUUUUACCCGGGAUGAUAAUGACAGUACCGGGAGAAUAAGCUCCGGCUAACUCCGUG
rnacentral:rRNA from 1 species